UGCUACAUGUCACCGCAUGGUGGUGUGUGGAAAGGGUUUACUGGUCUUGGAUGGGCUCACGGCCUAUCAGCUUGUUGGUGAGGUAAUGGCUCACCAAGGCGACGACGGGUAGCCGGCCUGAGAGGGUGACCGGCCACACUGGGACUGAGACACGGCCCAGACUCCUACGGGAGGCAGCAGUGGGGAAUAUUGCACAAUGGGCGAAAGCCUGAUGCAGCGACGCCGCGUGAGGGAUGACGGCCUUCGGGUUGUAAACCUCUUUCAGCAGGGAAGAAGCCACAAGUGACGGUACCUGCAGAAGAAGCGCCGGCUAACUACGUGCCAGCAGCCGCGGUAAUACGUAGGGCGCAAGCGUUGUCCGGAAUUAUUGGGCGUAAAGAGCUCGUAGGCGGUUUGUCGCGUCUGCUGUGAAAGCCCGGGGCUUAACCCCGGGUGUGCAGUGGGUACGGGCAGACUAGAGUGCAGUAGGGGAGACUGGAAUUCCUGGUGUAGCGGUGGAAUGCGCAGAUAUCAGGAGGAACACCGAUGGCGAAGGCAGGUCUCUGGGCUGUUACUGACGCUGAGGAGCGAAAGCAUGGGGAGCGAACAGGAUUAGAUACCCUGGUAGUCCAUGCCGUAAACGUUGGGCACUAGGUGUGGGGGACAUUCCACGUUUUCCGCGCCGUAGCUAACGCAUUAAG
rnacentral:rRNA from 1 species